rnacentral:rRNA from 1 species
UUGUUAAGUCAGAUGUGAAAGCCCGGGGCUCAACCUCGGAAUUGCAUUUGAAACUGGCAGACUAGAGUACUGUAGAGGGGGGUAGAAUUUCAGGUGUAGCGGUGAAAUGCGUAGAGAUCUGAAGGAAUACCGGUGGCGAAGGCGGCCCCCUGGACAGAUACUGACACUCAGAUGCGAAAGCGUGGGGAGCAAACAGGAUUAGAUACCCUGGUAGUCCACGCCGUAAACGAUGUCUACUUGGAGGUUGUGGCCUUG